GAUGAACGCUGGCGGCGUGCUUAACACAUGCAAGUCGAACGAAGCGAUUAGAAGGAAGUUUUCGGAUGGAAUUCUAAUUGACUGAGUGGCGGACGGGUGAGUAACGCGUGGGUAACCUGCCUCAUACAGGGGGAUAACAGUUAGAAAUGACUGCUAAUACCGCAUAAGCGCACAGGAUUGCAUGAUCCGGUGUGAAAAACUCCGGUGGUAUGAGAUGGACCCGCGUCUGAUUAGCUAGUUGGUGGGGUAACGGCCUACCAAGGCGACGAUCAGUAGCCGACCUGAGAGGGUGACCGGCCACAUUGGGACUGAGACACGGCCCAA
rnacentral:rRNA from 1 species